rnacentral:rRNA from 1 species
GUGCCAGCAGCCGCGGUAAUACGUAGGGUGCGAGCGUUAAUCGGAAUUACUGGGCGUAAAGCGAGCGCAGACGGUUAAAUAAGUCAGAUGUGAAAUCCCCGAGCUCAACUUGGGACGUGCAUUUGAAACUGUGUAACUAGAGUGUGUCAGAGGGAGGUAGAAUUCCACGUGUAGCAGUGAAAUGCGUAGAGAUGUGGAGGAAUACCGAUGGCGAAGGCAGCCUCCUGGGAUAACACUGACGUUCAUGCUCGAAAGCGUGGGUAGCAAACAGGAUUAGAUACCCUGGUAGUCCACGCCCUAAACGAUGACAAUUAGCUGUUGGGGUACUAGUUACCUUAGUAGCGAAGCUAACGCGUUAAGCAUCCCGCCUGGGGAGUACGGCCGGAAGGUUAAAACUCAAAGAAAUUGACGGGGGCCCGCACAAGCGGCGGAGCAUGCGGAUUAA